rnacentral:rRNA from 1 species
CGCGGUAAUACUGGCAGAACGAGUGGUGUCCACGAAUAUUGGGUCUAAAGAGACCGUAGCUGGUUUGUUAAGUCCACUGUGAAAUCUUGGGGCUCAACCUCAAGGCGUGCAGUGGAUACUGGCAGACUCGAGAGCGGGGGAGGUCAGGAGUACUUACGGGGUAUGAGUAAAAUCAGUUGAUCCUGUAAGGACUACCAGUGGCGAAGGCGCCUGACCAAAACGCGUCAGACAGUGAGGGUCGAAGGCUAGGAGAACGAAUCGGAUUAGAUACCCGAGUAGCCCUAGCAGUAAAUCAUGCAGACUGUGGUGUUGCCAUGGCUUCGGGCCAUGGCAGUGCUGUAGCGUAGGUGUUAAGUCUGCCACCUGGGGAGUACGGCCGCAAGGUUGAAACUUAAAGGAAUUGGCGGGGGAGCACCACAAGGGGUGGAUGCUGCGGUUCAAUUGGAU